ACGAGGAUAAUACGCCAAUCGAGUAUUAUCCUCGAUUUUAAUAAGCAUCAAGCAGUAUUAUCCUCGUUUGUUAACCCAGUAUUAACUUUAAUACGCCGAUUUUGGCGUAUUAAAGAUAAUCCUAGAUUUUCGAUUUGUGGCUGCGUUCGCAUAGAGAGGUCGCACGCACACUUAUGAACAAGAUGAAAAUGUCAAAGAACGAGGAAAAACAAAACAGCUGAUGGAGGUUCCAUGGAGCUGAAACAACACCGGGUAGCGAACAACACGGAUUUGUAGCCGCUGCCCGCUACUAGCACGUUGGACCUGCAUCUUGGGACUUCCCGACGGCAUCUGGAGUUUUGAUUUUACAAGAUGCAUGUUGCACUUUUCAUCCUCCCGUCGUUAAUAAUUUAUGGAAAAAAUCUGCAACAGACGAUGGAAGGAACUCAAGUUUGAAAGGAGUGGGGCGUUCCAUUAAAUUGAGCCAGAUGUAUGUAUACCACAGAUGAUAAUGAACCAACAAUUUGACGCCACAAUACACGGUUCGAGGCCACAUCCCUCCAUCACCGGCAUGCCCCCCACGCCCGGCAAAUCAUUUAGCACCUGGUCCGCCCACCUAACUCGCUACGCUCUCCGUCUGCUGGGUGGGACGAUGUCGACUUUGGUAAAUUUGUGUCCAGGAAAAUAACUAUUACUUUUGGUAAGUUAAGUUAGCAAGUUAAUAAGCUGAAACGCAAUAAAAAUGUUAUUCUAUUUUGGAAGUACAAAA